UACGGAGGGGUCAAGCGUUAUCCGGAUUCACUGGGUUUAAAGGGUGCGUAGGUGGGUCUGUAAGUCAGUGGUGAAAUCCCCGAGCUUAACUUGGGAACUGCCGUUGAUACUAUAGAUCUUGAAUAUCGUGGAGGUAAGCGGAAUAUGUCAUGUAGCGGUGAAAUGCUUAGAUAUGACAUAGAACACCAAUUGCGAAGGCAGCUUACUACACGAUCAUUGACACUGAGGCACGAAAAGCGUGGGGAGCAAACAGG
rnacentral:rRNA from 1 species